ensembl:lncRNA
CGUUGGGCUAGCGUUGUAUAGGGUGGGACAACAUAGCCAUCCGCAAUAGGCAUUGGGCAAACAUUGAGAAUUCCUGUUCUAAAGUAAUUAUGCAUACAUGACUCUUUUAAUGAGAAAGGAAAAUAAGUAUCUCUAGGGUUUAAAGUUAACUAUUAGUGUAAAUAGAACAUUUCUAAAAUAAUAGUAAAUGUGGUUCAGGGUUGAAAGCAGGUCAAUAAAUAGGACAAACUCAUUAAAAAUGGAUGGAAGUCUUUAUUUAGCCUAAUACAGUGAAACAAUAAACUGUAAUGCAGGUUUAACACCAAAUUCUGAUCUCUGAGCUGUACCUACAGUAAGCGAGGCCUCAUCAACACUACUCUCUCUCCUUAAGUGUCUCCUACUGCUACCUUACAGAAAGAUAGAUGGUUGAAACAGUGUACAUGCUAUGAUAUCAUAUUCCAUCAUAAAUAGAUCUCUAGGUUAAUUCAAAGCAUCAUAAAAAUGUUCAGUAAUCUUGAAGUGAGGCUGUAUUACAGGAUAGAAGUGCGGGAAGAAUGUGUUUUGGUCAGGUGACAUGGUCCCUGGUCUUGAUCUCAGAUGAUUUUCUUCUCUGUUCUUUGCUGGACAGGAUUUCUAGGCAUUGUAAGAUGUUGAGGAUACGUUCCCACCAUGGCCUGUCCAGUUGGUGUGGACAAAGUGGCCAGGUUUUGAGAGCAGCUCAUAUGUAUGGGCACCAAAGUAGUCCCUCUGAGCCUAAAACGUACAGUCAUCGUUAUUACUGAGGGUUACGGUCAUGGCAUACCACUGGACAUAAACAUGGGUGAUUUAAAGAGGAAUUUGAAGUAAACACGCUGGAUUUCUAUUUCCGUCAGUUACAGUCAGGUGAAAAUUGGGGAAAAGGCUGUGCAUGUUAAGAAAAAGUCACAAAUAUGACUUGAAUACUUCAACGUCAAGCUUUUCACCCAUGCAGAUGUACCAAUAAAUGUUUCAUAAUUCAACUUGGUAAAAUUCCUGCCAAUGUUCUGCUAAAUCCAUAGAUAAACAAAAGAUAACAAGAAUUAAUCAAUCUAUAAUUUAGUGGAAACCUGUCUGGCCUGAGAAACCAGUAAAUUUGUGUUCAUCUAGACAGGACAAAAUAAACCAACAAGUUAAAUUAUAAAUGUAUAGCACUGUUGUCGUAUACGCAGUGAACGUGACCUCAUGCUGUUGGACCCAUCAAAGUUACAGCUGCAAGUGUGAAAAAUGGGAUCUAUCAACAUGAGGUUUUAUGUCAGUGAAUGGGCUUUAGUCAUGGUGGUGUUGUAGUCAGUGUAGCAGUGUGAACAGAUCUGUGCUGGAGUAAAGGCCGUACCUGCAGCAGAUUAGCGGGGAGCAUGGAGUGUCUGUAGCCGUCGUAAAAGGACAGCGCGGUGGUAAAGGAAGGCAUUGGGAUCCCCAGUUGAACUCCUGUACUCACAACUCGUCUCCAUGACUCCUACAGCACAGGAGAGAGACAGACUUGUGCUAUUAGCACCCAUGUACUGAGACUGUAGCUGGCAGUGAGAGUAUUACUGUCCAAUUUAUUAUAACAUCAUUUUAAUCAUUGAUAGUUUUCUGUUUAAACAGCCACAAGGCCUCUCUGCUCAGACUAGCCAGACGUUCUGUACCUGACAGUCCUGUACAGCAUUACUGAAGAAGCUGUCUAGUAGCAGAUUCUGCAGCUCUGUAUCACGGUCAAAGGCCUCCUUAAUUUUCCCCAAGAACACACUGAAGACAUAAAACGAAGCAAGAUUAUACCACAUCAUCCAUCACUUCAUCCAGAUAAGUCCCUCUGGAGUAAAUUUAAUUCUGUCUGUUUAAGAAAAAGAAUAAAUAUAUAGUGCUUCACUGUGCCUGAGACUAAAGGGUCCAUAAUGUUGAAAUUUUUCCCACCUGUUUUUUUGGCGUUUUUUUUAAGACUAUAAGAAAAUCUGAAAUUUGCAUCAAGUGCAGUUCCAUCAGUUCAGGAGUGACAAGAACUCUUCCUAUUUUUUAAUCUGAAUGUUUCUCUGCAAUUGGUCAACAGUGCAGUCAGCACCCUAAACCAUAUAAAUAACAACUCAGUUAUUUUCCCAUACUAUUUAGUACAUUAGUGAGAUUUGUGAAGAAAAAAACACAAUCAGGUGUGUUGUUAUAUGAAAACAAUCAAUGAGUGGGCUGGGUGAUAUGACAAUAAAUUAAUAUAUAAUAAUAAUAAUUACAUACUGACUGGAAGCAGCUGAUUUCAUGUUAAAAUUUUGUUUACAAUCGAUAUUAAUUUAUACAGAUUUUUUUUUUGGUCCUAUUCAGUAGGUUAACAUUUAAUAUUGUUGAACGUUUGCAAAACAAGUUCAUUCUUGUCAUCACUUAUAUUAUACGUUGCAGUUAUGAGUUGUUCCCUCAGAAUCCUUAUGAUGUUAACAAGACAUAAAAAAAAUGCCAGCUUGACAUAUUAUUCAGAAACCACUAAGUCCUAUGGACUAUCCAGUGGUGGAAAACGUAAAGGAAUUGCUUUACCCUGGACUGCUACAAAGCACCGACACUGGAGACUCCUUCCAAAAAUGCUAAAGUCUGAACUGCUGUCAGAGCUGCUAUUAUAGAAAAUUACUUACCACCUUCUGACCAAUCAGAUUUGAGAAUUCAAAAGCGGUACGAUAUAAGGGAUGAUAACACAGCUCUUGGCUAGUCAGUAACAAAAGGUGUCAAGUACAUCCCUUCAGGCAAAAUUUCAUACAAAAAUUAACCCAUGGAUAGUCUAAAAAUAUUUUAAAUAUUGAAGUAUUUUAAAUCUUUAUUAUUUUGUAUAUAUUAUUUCCAUGUGUUUUGACAUGGACCUCAGAUCAGCUUUAGCAUUCAUUAAGGAUUAUACUUUAUUUCAUUUCUCUUUACAUUUUUAGUACUGUUAAGAACAUAUAUCUUUAUCAUAAUGUUUUUCCUGCAACUAUUUAAUACUGUUCCUAGCACAGCCUUGUCUAAUGUUACCUCACCAGAUAAUAUGCAAUGUAUUUCAGUAAACUGAAACUCUGCUUCCUCAUGUGUUUCACUGUCGCAACAUUGGCUGGUGACAAUGAGGGUCAGUAUCAUUUCACUGCAUUGUGUCUCAGCAAACAGCUCCGUGUGCUCUUGGGUCUAAGAUUACACACCCUUUGAUUUCUGACCCUGCAUCUGAGAAAGGCGUAGCUCACCUCCGAAUGAUGCAGCCACCUCGCCACAUCAGAGCAAUUCCUCCAUAAUUAAGAGACCAGCCGAACUCUUUCGCUGCCUGGCGGAGGAGCAUGAAGCCCUGAGCGUAGGAAAUGAUCUUGGAGGCAUACAGAGCCUGGAAAGGAAAUGAUUAGUGCACAUUAUAAUGAUGAAAAUCCAGAGUGUCUGAAGUCAUUAAGCUUCUGUACAAUGACAGUACACAAAAAUACAGAAACAAACUAGCUAGGCCAAAGGUUCACUGACCUUUCUAAUGUCCUCAAGAAACUGAGUCUUGUCCCCAGUAAAUUUGGCCCCCUGGGGCCCUGUGAGGCUCUUACUGGCCACUACUCUCUCUUCCUUCAGAGAAGAAAGACAUCUGGCAAAGACAGCCUCUCCUGUGAGACAAAAACAGCAGACAAGCAGCUUUUAGAGCUCAGAUUGCUACAGCUACAGCACUCAGUAAUACACUUCUGGCCUGAUAAGGAAAUACUGUAUAAUUAAAGCAUUAGAUCCAGGUUCAGACAGCGCACAUAUACAGCAGCUUUACUGAAUAUUACAUUUAAAA